ACAAGUUAUCCUAAUUCUUCUGCUAAUUUUACUGAACUUAAUUUUGAGCAAGUGCAACUUUCGUACUAUAUCAACUAAAAAUAUUAUGCAAUUUACUUCAAUAAUUUUUUUCUAUGUUUAUUUAUUAUGAUAAAAAUUGAUACGUCAAAUUAACAAAAAGUAAUAUAAUGUGUGCAGUCACGAAAAGAAACAAUUUAAAAAAAAUUAAUUAGCAAAAGUUUAUGUAUGCCUAGCAUAAAACUCUCUUGCAGACUUGCAGCAGGUGCAAAAAUUUCAUUGAUAACUAGGUUGGGACUACCGUACACAGCACUACUAAUAUAAUGUCUAUGACCCAAGCUGAAUUCUAUGCUUAUGCGUUGAUCAUCAAUCUCCACUCUAUAUCAAGAUAGAAAACAGAGGAUUAGUGGUUGAUUUUUGUCGUGAAAUCACCUCUCUAUAAAACUUAAGUUGAUAGAAAGAGAUAUGUGAAUUGUUAUAUCUCUAAUAUAUUUUCUCAUUUAAAUUUUUUUUUUAAGUUUGUAUAAAUUUUUGCAUAGGCCUAUAAUUUUUCUUUUUAUUUGUCUUAUGUUAAAUUUUUUUAGUCAACAAUAAUCGAACUUUAAACUCAUAGAAGUUGUGGUAUGAUAUUAGAAUUUAAAUUGGGUAUGCCUAAUUCAAUCCUAAAAACUUGUUCAUAGGAUAAGAAACGCCUUACACUUAAAAAUUUUUCAGAGAUCUUAUCCUUGAGAGAUUUGAGACUUGUAGUACACAUCAUUUAUGCUCAUAAAUGAUCAUUUAGAACGUGAACACUUGUCCCAACAGCACUGGAUUGGACGAGCUCUGAUAUCAUGUCAUGAAACUACUUCUCUCAAAAUUUAAGCUGACAUAAGAAAGCACAUGAAUGAUUAUAUCUCUAAAAUCUCUUCCUUUAGAAUGAUUCUUGGUCACCGAGCAGAAACUUUUUAGUCGAAAAUUAUUAUCUCUUUUGGUCUCACUUUUGUCCCAAAGGAAGUUGUGGGAUCCCUUCAGUACUUGACUAUCUCUAGACCUGACUUUGCCUUUUUUGUUAACAAGAUUCGGAUUGGGCAGGGGACUUGGAAGACAGAAAACCGGUCACUGGUUACUAUGUAUACUUAGGAAGCAAUUUUGUAUCAUGGAAAAGUAAUAAACAAGCCAAGAUUAGCCACAGCAGCACUGAGGCAGAAUACAUGAGCAUGGCAGCAACUCAGUCAGAAUUAGUGUCCAUUCAACAACUUCUAAAAGAACUUAAAGUCCAAUC